rnacentral:lncRNA from 1 species
AUCUCGACCCUGACAUGCCCACACAGGAGACAUUCUGCUCCCCAUCCACCUGGGAGACUGGCAGCUGCACGCUUUCCCUGUCUAAAUUCUGUCCUUAAUGAGAGUACAGGUGCCGCAGCUACUCAUCUCGGUAAGAGAAAAACAGGAUUGACUAUGGCCAUUGUCUCCACCUAGACGGUCAUCCCAUGAAAGUUUUUGCUUCAUUUGCUUGGGCUGAGGCACGUGUGCAAAAGGGCCUGGUGUGUGUACUACAGAUGCUCUAAUUACUUGAAAAUUCAUUGUGCUUUCACUUUUUAUGGACAUAAGGUAAUUCUGGAACAUUACUCCAACUCCCUGCUUUAUUUAGAAGUGCUUGAGGAAUGUGGAGCGCUUGGAGCUUAGGCAGUGGUAUAGUUUUUGGGUCUGGCUUUUUUAUUUUUUAAAUGCCAGUGGGUCUAAUUUUGCAAACCAGAAAUCAGUGAAUGGGACUGACUGUGCUGGGAAACAGCAUUUACACUGGAGAGAAAGAGCAGUAAACCCUGUCAUGUGAGGAAGGAGCAGCUCCUUAAUUUUUGCUCUUUGUGAGCAAGAUGCAAUCCGUGUUUCCCGACGUUGGGACCAUCCGCUCACCUCACCAUGUUCCUAUGUAAUUGUGUCACGUAAUGGGAAGUUGUAAUAGGCAAUUUGGUUCUGUAAUUCAGUUUGCAAAGCAUGCAAACAUAAGAUAACUAGGUUAAAUGCAAAUAGGCAUUACACUAAGGUAUGAAAAAUGGGGGCGGGGGUGGGGAGAAAAGAUGCUGUAUUCAUAACUUAGAAACAACGUGAUUUUAAUCCUCAUGUGCCUCGAAGUGUAGAGUUUAUUAAACUUAUUUAUCCUCUAGUUUAAUUUCACCACAUACUGUAACACAGAUGCAUCCUGUGUGUGUGAAUCUACAUGUCUUCUGCACAUAUUUACAGUGUGUCUUCUUUGUAAUAAGCAGCCUCUGAGUGAAACGCUUCUUCAGGAGUAAGUCGAUGUGGUCAUUGUUCACAAUGUUCCGUGCAAAUAGACUGUUAGCAAAUAGCCCAUUAUAUAUGACCCCAUAUCAAAAUGUGCUUUUAAUUUUUCAAAACCUUUUGGUUACUGUCUAUAACUUUGUCCCUUGGGCCAAUUCUUUCAUUACUGAGAGCUCUGAUUUUAAUGUAUUCCCAUAAACAGUGACUGUAGGUACCCUGUAGUCAGAUAUGUACACUUUCGUCAAGUAAACACUACUGGCCUUAAUGAUUUUAGUAUUUUCAGGUGCUUUUUUUCAUUUUUGAUGUAGCAUUUUUUUUUCUAGUAUGGAGUAUCAUGAACCUGGGACCAAUUCAAAAGAAUUUCUAAAUCUGAAGAUUCCAAGACAAUGCAGUAUUUUCUGUUCUUGCUGUAAAAAGUAUUUCAGUAUUUUUAAUAAAGA